UACAGAGGUCUCAAGCGUUGUUCGGAUUCAUUGGGCGUAAAGGGCGCGUAGGCGGCUUGGCAAGUGGAUGGUGAAAUCCCUCGGCUUAACCGAGGAACGGCCGUCCAAACUGCUUCGCUUGAGACCGGGAGAGGUGAGUGGAAUUCCCAGUGUAGCGGUGAAAUGCGUAGAUAUUGGGAGGAACACCAGUGGCGAAGGCGGCUCACUGGACCGGUACUGACGCUGAAGCGCGAAAGCGUGGGGAGCAAACGGG
rnacentral:rRNA from 1 species